AGAUUGAACGCUGGCGGCAUGCUUUACACAUGCAAGUCGAACGGCAGCACGGGGGCAACCCUGGUGGCGAGUGGCGAACGGGUGAGUAAUGCAUCGGAACGUAUCUUUAAGUGGGGGAUAACGCGUCGAAAGAUGCGCUAAUACCGCAUAAUCUCUGAGGAGAAAAGCAGGGGAUCGCAAGACCUUGCGCUUUUGGAGCGGCCGAUGUCUGAUUAGCGUAGGUUGGUAGGGGUAAAGGCUUAACCGAAGGCUUCGAUCAGUAGCUGGUCUGAGAGGACGACCAGCCACACGUGGACUGAGACGACGGCCCAGACCUACGACGGGAGCAGCGAGGUGGGUAAUUUGGACAAGUGGGCGAC
rnacentral:rRNA from 1 species